rnacentral:rRNA from 1 species
UACGUAGGGCGCAAGCGUUGUCCGGAAUUAUUGGGCGUAAAGAGCGUGUAGGCGGCCAGGCAGGUCCGUUGUGAAAACUCGAGGCUCAACCUCGAGACGUCGAUGGAAACCGUCUGGCUAGAGUCCGGAAGAGGAGAGUGGAAUUCCUGGUGUAGCGGUGAAAUGCGCAGAUAUCGGGAGGAACACCGGUGGCGAAGGCGGUUCUCUGGGCCUUACCUGACGCUGAGGAGCGAAAGCGUGGGGAGCGAACAGG